rnacentral:sRNA from 1 species
GCUGCGGCUCCAUGGUCUGAGUUGUCAGCCGUUGUUUUUUCGUGCUCUCUAGUCGCCGCCGCCGCGCCGCCAUGGGGAAGCGACAGCACCAGAAGGACAAAAUGUACAUUACCUGUGCUGAAUACACUCACUUUUAUGGUGGCAAGAAGCCAGUUUAUAAGGAAUAAAAAGAAUGAUAAUAUUUUCGGCUGUCAAAACUAUCAAGACUACAAUAACAAGAGCACUGUCAUAAUUUUAAUGGGAGUAAAAAAGUAUGCACUUUUCCCUAUCUCCCACAAACAAAUUUUCGUCGUUUACCUUUUGACCACUGUAGUCUCUCUCUGCAGCCCUUUGUCUACCCAGUCUGCACUCCUGAUGGCGUCGUCUUUGACUUGCUGAACAUUGUUCCAUGGCUUAAGAAGUACGGGACCAACCCCAGCAAUGGAGAGAAGCUGGACGGGAGGUCCCUGAUCAAGCUGAACUUUUCCAAGAACAGUGAGGGGAAGUACCACUGCCCAGUGCUGUUUACUGUGUUCACCAACAACACCCACAUCGUGGCUGUGAGGACAACCGGCAACGUCUACGCCUAUGAGGCAGUGGAACAGCUAAAUAUCAAGGCCAAGAACUUCCGGGACCUGCUGACUGACGAGCCCUUCUCCCGGCAGGACAUCAUCACCCUCCAGGACCCCACCAAUUUGGACAAGUUCAAUGUCUCUAACUUCUAUCAUGUGAAGAAUAACAUGAAAAUAAUAGACCCAGAUGAAGAGAAGGCCAAACAGGACCCGUCUUAUUAUCUGAAAAAUACAAAUGCCGAGACCCGAGAGACCCUGCAGGAGCUCUACAAGGAAUUCAAAGGGGAUGAGAUUCUGGCAGCCACCAUGAAGG